UGGGCUUUUACUUAGAAAAGUACUUUUCUUUGAAAAGCAAUGAAGAACAAGUUUGAUUUGGUAGCAAAUUCUCAGAAGCUAAGAAGUGCUUUUGGCCAGAUGAAGAAGUAAAAUUUUUAGCUUUUUAGCCAAAAAGUGCUUUUGGGCUGGUUCAUCUACUUUUUUUAGCCACAGACUCUUUGCUCUUUGCCCUCUGCUCUCUGCUGCUUCUUUGCCCUCGUCUCUGCCCUCUGCUGGUUCUUUGUUCCUCUGCCCUCUGCCCUCUGCCCUCUGCCAAUUGGAUAGGAGAUAAACUUAGGUUGUCAACGCUUCCUUCAUCUCCUACAUCGAGCAAAAAGAGUAAGAGACAACAAUGGUUACUUUCCGGGCAAUCUUGAGAGGAACCAUCCAGGUCCCAACUCUUACCAGUGAUGUUGUGCUCAAGGUUUGUUGGAAAUUGUGUAUGAUUGUGAUAAGCUUAGAAAGGGACCUUUAAUUAUUUGUUAUAGUUGAGGCUCCUAAUCUAUGUUGCUUUCAAUUUGCAAGUCCGUCCUGGCACUCAACCAGGCCAGAAGGUUAUUCUAAAGAAUAAAGGUGGAUAUAAUUUCAAUUGAUUUCUCAGACAAGUUGCUGUUUCGAUUGAAAUUGCCUAUGGUUAAAGCUGCUAUUAAGGUUUGUUAUUGACUUGAUUUCUAUACUCAUUCAAAAUUGAAAAUUUGAUUUGUUUUAAUGGAUAAUUUCAUCUUGAGGUCUCACAGCGUGGGAUAUAUUUUGAAAUAACAUAUUCUGAUCUUAUUGUGGAUGUUCAUCAAAGGAGGCAAAUCAUAUCCAAUGCUAAGGUGAGGAAUCCAGAGCUUGUCGCAUUGUUUUUGAACGGUUGUUUCUUUCUUUUUUCUUCUUUUUUUUUACUGUGUUCUAAUAAUUCUUGUGUUUUAGCGCAUUAAAAUAUAAAUUUAUAGCUGAUGAAAUGGUGAUGAACUAGGAUAUGAACAAUUGGUGAGUAGCAAAAAUUGAGAGAUUUAGUUAUGAUUUUUUAGUUGCUUUAUAAGAUGCAAUUUUGGUUGUUCUAGAUAGUAGUGGAUGCUGUCAAUGUGAACUAAUUAUCUGUAGCAUACUUUCCAGUUGCUGCUGGAUUGGACUCGAGGAAAAAAUGUCAUACUUUCUAGUGCUGCACCUUCUGUAUGUGAAGUUAAGAGGGCCUAAUGAUGUUGCAAACUUAGCAUAUUUGCUUGGUCUCUCUAUGGAACGAGCUAAAGCAGUUAUUUCCAAAAAUUGAGCCUUUUGACCAAUGCUUUGAGAAGAAAGCACUUUUUCAAGGAGGCUAUCAGAGUUGAAGCAGUGUCCUCCAGUAUAAAUCUUUGGAACUUGGAAAUUAGCAAUCAAAGUUUCAAUAUUGUCGAUGUAAAGCCUGCAAACAUGGAGGAUCUAACUGAGGUUAUAACAUCAGCAGAGUUUCACCCUACCCACUGUAAUAUGCUAGCAUAUAGUAGUUCAAAGGGCUCAAUUCGCCUCAUUGAUUUGCGGCAUCAGCUUUGUGUGAUUCUCAUGCCAAAUUGCAAGUGUUUUACCGUUUUUAGUUUCUUUUGUCUAUCAUUGCAAGUGUUCAAUAAAUGAUCUUGUGUGCUAGAGUAAUUGAUGGCUUUACAUGCUGUUCUAAAGAUCAGCUGGUGUUUCUUGGCACAUGUUAUGAGUGAUUAUAUGCUGUUCCAAAGUGUUGAUGAAAUCAUGAAAAUAGUUGAAGAGGCCAAAGUUGCCCCUAGAGUAUCACGGCCUAUCAGAGGCUUUGGCUAGGGUGGAGAAGAAGAUGAGGAUGCAAAGGAAGAAGAUGCAAAAGAAGACGAAGAAGAUGAGUACGAGAAAACGGUAAAAGAGGUACAUGCCAGUGGAGAAAUUCACGUCUCUUAAGGAAAAAAGAGAGUAAUAUAUGGUUUCCAAAUGUUGGAGCUUUGGUGUCUUUUAGUGCUUACAUAUGUUCUUAUAAAUAUGAUGUCAGUUUUUUGCUAUUAGACCUAAGUGUUGAAUAAACAACCUGUAAAUUAUUGUGUUUUGGACAAGAAGUUGAAAUGGGGGUUAAGGAUGCCAUAGUGAGGCGACACUACUAUGCUGGCGAGUAAGAUGAGAGCCACUGGCCGACAAUUUCUUAUUUCCUUUGGAUGCUCAACACAUAUGACAUGCUGCAAAAUUGUUUCUUGCCAAUGAUUUAUUUUAUGUUCUUAUGAACAAAGUUUGACUCUGAUCUUUGAUGUAGUUUUAUAUCAUUAUCAUGAAAUUUAGGCAGAACCUAAGAACUAUUUCUUUGUUUAUGAGGCAACUUUGUUAGUGGCUUAUUGGCAAUGAUCUUUUCUGGAGGUGUAUUAUUCAA